rnacentral:rRNA from 1 species
UACGUAGGGGGCGAGCGUUGUCCGAAUUUAUUGGGCGUAAAGAGCGUGUAGGCGGCCAGGUAGGUCUGCUGUGAAAACUCGAGGCUCAAUCUCGAGACGUCGGCGGAAACCAUCUGGCUAGAGUCCGGAAGAGGAGAGUGGAAUUCCUGGUGUAGCGGUGAAAUGCGCAGAUAUCAGGAAGAACACCCGUGGCGAAGGCGGCUCUCUGGGACGGUACUGACGCUGAGACGCGAAAGCGUGGGGAGCGAACAGG